GUGCUAGCUUCGGCAGCACAUAUACUAAAAUUGAAAUGAUACAGAGAAGAUUAGCAUGGUCCCUGCACAAGGAUGACACGCAAAUUCGUGAAGUUUUCCUUAUUUUU
rnacentral:snRNA from 1 species